CGUUCUCCCUCCGUGGUCCUGGCCAUUUUUGUUUGAAGAAGAAGAAGGAGAAGAGUGCCCACAUUUCCUCUGAUGAGCGUGUGUUGCUGAAAGGACAGAUGCACGUACUGAGGGAUGUCAAAGCUUUUGUGGAGAGCAUUGACCUUCGAGAACGAUAUUACAAAAUAUUUUGGAGCUCUCUGUCAAAUCUGAGACUCUGACGAUACAGCGAGAGGCGAUCGAAGCGGCACCUACCGAGUCAGGUCAACCUUCCCCCUGCUUUCGCGUUGACUUCACUCGGCGCGACGCAGUGUCAACAGUGACAGCGACAAGACAGCGUCUACGUAAGCGAGACGAACUCGACAAGCCAACGAGACCUGCUCCUAUUGAGUUCAGUCGGUGCAGUAAAGCCGCAUCGGUCACAGACCAUCUAGACCAGGGGACUCAAGCUCAAAUCGAGUCACCGACCGCAUUCACCUUGGACGAGAGCAUGGCGGACCGCACAGAAAAGAAAGUAAUUAUCCUUUAAUAUUACAUGUAACCGUAAGUAUCGCAAAAUAGUCCAGC